rnacentral:rRNA from 1 species
GAUGAACGCUGGCGGCGUGCUUAACACAUGCAAGUCGAACGGAAAGGCCCAACCUUGCUUGGGUGCUCGAGUGGCGAACGGGUGAGUAACACGUGGGUGAUCUGCCCUGCACUUUGGGAUAAGUCUGGGAAACUGGGUCUAAUACCGGAUAGGACCUUCGUCUACUUGCGGUGGUGUAGAGAUUUUCGGGGUGGGAUGAGCUCGGGGCCUAUUAGCUUGUUGUUGGGGUAAUGGGCUAUCAAGGCGUCGAUGGGUAGUCGGCCUGCGGGGGUGUACGGCCAAAUUGGGGACUAGAUACGGGCCCGACUCCUACGGGGGGGAAGAGUGGGGAAUAUUGGACAAAGGGCGCGAGCCUGGUGCAACGAAGCCGCGUGGGGGGAUACGGCCUUCGGGUUGUAAACUCGUUUCGGCAAGGACGAAGCGGUGUGUGACGGUAAUUGGAGAAGAAGCACCGGCUAACUACGUG